rnacentral:rRNA from 1 species
UACGUAGGGAGCAAGCGUUGUUCGGAUUUACUGGGCGUAAAGGGCGCGUAGGCGGCGCGGUAAGUCACUUGUGAAAUCUCUGAGCUUAACUCAGAACGGCCAAGUGAUACUGCAGUGCUAGAGUGCAGAAGGGGCAAUCGGAAUUCUUGGUGUAGCGGUGAAAUGCGUAGAUAUCAAGAGGAACACCUGAGGUGAAGACGGGUUGCUGGGCCGACACUGACGCUGGAGCGAAAGCGUGGGGAGCGAACAGG